rnacentral:rRNA from 1 species
GACAGAGGGUGCAAACGUUGUUCGGAAUUACUGGGCGUAAAGGGCUCGUAGGCGGCCAACUAAGUCAGACGUGAAAUCCCUCGGCUUAACCGGGGAACUGCGUCUGAUACUGGUUGGCUUGAAUCCGGGAGAGGGAUGUGGAAUUCCAGGUGUAGCGGUGAAAUGCGUAGAUAUCUGGAGGAACACCGGUGGCGAAGGCGGCAUCCUGGACCGGUAUUGACGCUGAGGAGCGAAAGCCAGGGGAGCAAACGGG